GGACAAUAAGCUGCCUUGACACAGGCAGUUGGGAAACACCACCAAGUUGUUCUAUUAAAGAUUGUGGGUCUCCAUUGAAUGUAAGCAAUGGUAAUUUGCAAUAUAUUGCAACAACGUUUGGAUCGAUCGCUUCUCUUGUCUGUGAAAAAGGAUAUGAUGGAAACGGGACAAUAAGCUGUCUUGACACAGGCAGUUGGGAAAAACCACCAAGUUGUUCUAUUAAAGACUGUGGGUCUCCAUUGAAUGUGACCAAUGGUAAUUUGCAAUAUCGCAACAACGUUUGGAUCAACCGCUUCUCUUGUCUGUGAUAGAGGAUAUGAUGGAAACG